rnacentral:rRNA from 1 species
GACGAACGCUGGCGGCGUGCUUAACACAUGCAAGUCGAACGGAAAGGCCCCUUUGGGGGUACUCGAGUGGCGAACGGGUGAGUAACACGUGAGUAACCUGCCCUUGACUUCGGGAUAACUUCAGGAAACUGGGGCUAAUACCGGAUAGGAAUCCUUGCUGCAUGGUGGGGUUGGAAAGCUUCGGCGGUUUUGGAUGGACUCGCGGCUUAUCAGCUUGUUGGUGGGGUAGUGGCUUACCAAGGCUUUGACGGGUAGCCGGCCUGAGAGGGCGACCGGCCACAUUGGGACUGAGAUACGGCCCAGACUCCUACGGGAGGCAGCAGUGGGGAAUAUUGCACAAUGGGCGGAAGCCUGAUGCAGCAACGCCGCGUGCGGGAUGACGGCCUUCGGGUUGUAAACCGCUUUCAGCAGGGGCGAAGCUUGUGGUGACGGUACCUGCAGAAGAAGCACCGGCUAACUACGUG